rnacentral:rRNA from 1 species
CACGUAGGGUGCGAGCGUUGUCCGGAAUUAUCGGGCGUAAAGAGCUCGUAGGCGGUGUGUCGCGUCGGCCGUGAAAACCUGCAGCUUAACUGUGGGCUUGCGGUCGAUACGGGCAUCACUGGAGUUCGGCAGGGGAGACUGGAAUUCCUGGUGUAGCGGUGAAAUGCGCAGAUAUCAGGAGGAACACCGGUGGCGAAGGCGGGUCUCUGGGCCGAUACUGACGCUGAGGAGCGAAAGCGUGGGGAGCGAACAGG